rnacentral:rRNA from 1 species
CACGUAGGGCGCAAGCGUUGUCCGGAAUUAUUGGGCGUAAAGAGCUCGUAGGCGGUCUGUUGCGUCUGCUGUGAAAACCCGGGGCUUAACCCCUGGCUUGCAGUGGAUACGGACAGACUAGAGGUAGGUAGGGGAGAAUGGAAUUCCCGGUGUAGCGGUGAAAUGCGCAGAUAUCGGGAGGAACACCGGUGGCGAAGGCGGUUCUCUGGGCCUUACCUGACGCUGAGGCGCGAAGGCGUGGGGAGCAAACAGG